UACAGAGGGUGCAAGCGUUGUUCGGAAUUAUUGGGCGUAAAGGGCGCGUAGGCGGUGCGGUAAGUCUGCGGUGAAAUCUCCCGGCUCAACUGGGAGGCUGCCGUGGAAACUGCCGUGCUUGAGUGUGGGAGAGGUGAGUGGAAUUCCCGGUGUAGCGGUGAAAUGCGUAGAGAUCGGGAGGAAUACCAGUGGCGAAGGCGGCCUUCUGGACUGACACUGACGCUGAGGCGCGAAAGCCAGGGGAGCAAACGGG
rnacentral:rRNA from 1 species